rnacentral:rRNA from 1 species
GGUUCCACAUUUAUGUGGGAUAGUGGCAGACGGGUGAGUAACACGUAGGAAUCUACCCCAAAGUGUGGCAUAGCUUACCGAAAGGUGGGGUAAUACCACAUGUUGUCCUAAUGCAAAUUAGGACCAAAGGGCAUAACUGCUCGCUUUGGGAUGUGCCCGCGUCCUAUCAGCUUGUUGGUGAGGUAACGGCUCACCAAGGCGAUGACGGGUAGGGGGUGUGAGAGCACGGCCCCCCACAAGAGCACUGAGACACGGGCUCUACAUCUACGGAUGGCAGCAACUAGGAAUCUUGCGCAAUGGGCGAAAGCCUGACGCAGCGACGCCGCGUGGAGGAUGAAGGCCUUCGGGUUGUAAACUUCUUUUAAUGGGGAGAAAGAUCUGAUAGUACCCAUCGAAUAAGCACCUGCAAACUACGUGCCAGCAGCCGCGGUAAAACGUAGGGUGCAAGCGUUAUCCGGAAUUACUGGGUGUAAAGAGUAUCGUAGGCGGUUUUGUAAGUUACUUGUCAAAGACCUCUGCUUAACGGAGGAAAGGCAAGUAAUACUGCAGAACUAGUGUUAGGUCGGGGGUGUUGGAAUUCCCGGUGGAGGGGUGAAAUCCGUUGAGAUCGGGAGGAACACCGAGGGCGAAGGCAAAUACCUAGACCUUAACAGACGCUGAUGAACGAAAGCUAGGGUAGCAAACCGGAUUAGAGACCCGGGUAGUCCUAGCCGUAAACGAUGCCUACUAGCUGGUCCCAAUGUUUUGCAUUGGGGCUGGCGUAAGCUAACGCGUUAAGUAAGCCACCUGGGAAGUACGGCCGCAAGGCUAAAACUCAAAGGAAUUGACGGGGGAGCGCACAACCAGUAGAGCAUGUGGUUUAAUUCGAUACAAAGCGUUG